UACGAAGGGGGCUAGCGUUGCUCGGAAUCACUGGGCGUAAAGCGCACGUAGGCGGGUCUUUAAGUCAGGGGUGAAAUCCCGGAGCUCAACUCCGGAACUGCCUUUGAUACUGGAGAUCUUGAGUCCGGGAGAGGUGAGUGGAACUCCGAGUGUAGAGGUGAAAUUCGUAGAUAUUCGCAAGAACACCAGUGGCGAAGGCGGCUCACUGGCCCGAUACUGACGCUGAGGCACGAAAGCGUGGGGAGCAAACAGGG
rnacentral:rRNA from 1 species